rnacentral:pre_miRNA from 1 species
GAUUUCAACUGAAAAAGUCAUCAACAACAAAAUUGUAUAACUCAUCAAGACCUAUAACUUCUAUUUUGGUCAUUUCUUCAUCCGACAAAGUGAUUUGUAACAUUGUUCAUAAAAUGUAUAUAUCUCUUAUAGUUUUAUAAACUAAGAGAGAUAUGUAAAUUUUAAGAAUAUGUUAUGAUCACUUUGUCGGAUGAAGAAAUGAUCAAAAUAGAAGUUAUAGAUUUUGAUGAGUUAUACAACUUUAUUGUUGAUAACUUUUUCAGCUGAAAUC